AUAUAUAUUUAUUUUUUUGUACAAAACUUCCUUGUUUGUCUGGAAGUUUUCUAUUUCUGCUCUUCUACUAUACAUACGUUUCUCAGUAUUACUGAGAGUAAAUAAAUGGGUUUACUUCUGGUGAAGAGUUUUAAGUCCUUUCAGGGUUAACAGUAUGUAUUUGAGCUGUCUGGUUUCUCGACAGUGGAUAGCAUCAGACCAUACUAUGCUGAUUUACUGAGGAGAUGAAAAUCAAAUAAAUGAAAAAUAGUAUCAAACUUGUAGCAUCAAAGAUAUUACCUUGGACUACAGAGGUAUUGAAAAGAAUAUCGGCAGGAUUGAAGUGAGGUAGAAUGCUCAAGUCUGUAGGUUUGGGGUGGAACCUGCCGAUUUCUGUGGUUCUUGCGCGACAGGGAGAAAUUAACAAGUUAGUGACAUUCAGAAUAGGUUCUGUGCCAAGUUUUAAUGCAGGAUAUGUUAGGGUUGCAAGCUCCCAAACGGGACACGCAGCUAGGACAAACACAUUACCCACCUAAGUGCUCAGUGCGAUUGGUUUUACUAUGGCAUGGGGAAAGACAUUUUGGCAGGUUGAGGAAUAAAACUCUGCUUCCUUUAGGGACCUUUUCCCUAGCAUUUACACCCUCACCGCCCUACACCCCCACGCGGCCAUGGGGCGCGUAGGCUCGACGGCGACCUCCAUACCUCGCUGCUGGGCGGUGCGAGCCCUGCUGCGCUUUGUUUGGCCUAGCAACCACCCGGGGCCGGGCCAGGACCGGGUCAAAGCCGGCCAGGGCCCCGUCCUCCCCUCCCGGGCUCGCCGCCGCGAUCCUGGCCCUCGCCAAGCCCCGCCGUCCCCCGGCCGGGCCCGGCCCCGCCGCCGCGGGGGACAUGGAGCCCGGGGGCCGUGCGGGCGGCCGGGCGCUGCUCAUCACCCUGCCCGACAUCGGCGAGGAGGCGGCGGCGGAGGAGGGCGACGCCGAGGAGGGACCCCGCAGCCCGCGGAGCCCCCCGAAGGGACUGUUCAGAAGUUCCACAAAUCAGUGUCUUUCAGGAAAAAGUGGAGAAUCUCUUCCAUCAGUUUUUGAGAGAAAUGUGCAGGAAGCCAUCAAUAACUACACUUGUGAAACGCUUUCAUCGCUUUCAUCUAGUGGUCAUACAACACCCACAGACUUGAAUAAUUCCUGGUCUGAAAUAAAAAGCUGUACUACUGGGUUAUCUACUGAAAGAAGUUCUGUUUACUCCUGGAGGGAUGAUGAAUUUGAUGAAGCCAACACACAGAGAGUGCAACAGCUAUUUUGGGAUAUUGAUGAAAUGCUGUUUGAAGGAAAAGUGACCUCCCAAACUCAGAGCCUGCAGGCAGAAUGUGCAGACUGGGUUGAGCGGUCUCUUCAUUUAAGGGUUAUAGGAAAGCAGCUCCUGUCGCCAAACGACGAAGGCUUUCAGCAUUUUGAGAGCCCAAAUGAUAGCUCUGUGAAUACUAAGUGUUUACCUGGCCUCCGUGAAUGUACUAUUAAUAUAAAAGAGCUCUGCAUUUCAGGCUCUAAAUUGAUUCCAACAGCACCUCCAGUACACAAAUCACUAGAUUUAGUUUCCACUAUGAUUUCUGCCUCUGACUCGUCCAUGUAUUCGUUCCUGGAAGAAGAAAUCUAUGAUAUGGAUGGAAAAAUAGAAGAAUAUCUUGCCUUUGACAACAAUGAGCUUGACGAGAAUUUGGAACAAAAGAAUAUACAUCUUGCUGAGAAGAGGAGUAAGCAUGGCAUUCCCCCUGUUUCUCCCAAUGCCUGUAUCAAAGAUGUUGUGGCUUCUGAAGUAUUUGACCAUAUCUGGAGCAAUGUAAUUGGAAUACUGGAGGAACUGAUUAAAAAAAAUUGGGAAAACAAUAUCACAGAGGACAAACGGGUGGAGAAACUGAAAGCUGUUACAUGCAAACUGCCACUUUUGCCUGUUGGUCGAGUUACAGCAGAUGCUGGCAGUGUCCCCCUUUCCAGAGGCUCUGAAACACGAAGUGUAUCUUUUGGAUCUCAUUCUGUUUCAUCACUGCAGGUUCACCGUUUCUCCAGCAAUUUCUGUAGUGAUUUGAAUGGUGUGAUGACAAUUCAAGCAAAACCACUCCAACAGAGGCACAUUGCCACAGCAGAAAAAAUACAGAAUGAGCAAGACAAACCACACAAGAAUGGCUCCAGUGCUCCAAAUUCAGUGCGUACUAGACUGGAGAGAAUUGCUGAUAACUCUGUUCUCUCAUCAUCUCGGGUACUGCCGGCAUCUUCUAGGAAGCUACCAAGCCAUCGUAGGUUACCUUCUCUCACUUCUGACCAACUCUCCUCAAAAGCUCCUAAUAUGUACAAUGAUGAAAUCCUUAGGGGGACUAAAUUGGUUGCUGGCUUGGAUCGUUUAUCUUCUGGUGGUGCACAUACGGCCCGAAACAAGUUACCACCAAUAAACUCACAGGCUGUUGAACAGUAUCUUUCAGUCCCUCGAUUACAACAGACCUAUCAUCGAGGAAGAUAUGCUUAUAGCAGAGUGUCAAGCGCAGUGCCUGGCAGUACAGAACAGCGGCCACUCAGAGAACGAACUGUUGUUAUUGAUCAAUUUUCAAGGCCCAACACAACUCAUACAUUCAGGUGUACGUGGAUUCCUGCUCCCUCUACACAGCAGGAUGUUAAAAGGCUUUGGGAGAUUAUGAACAUAAAGCACAACCAGUGUAUGAGGAAGAGAUUUCCUCGGGUCUAAUGUACUAAACAGAUCCUUUGAGGCAAUCUGCAUGGAAGUGUGCAGUUUUUAGUACUGUUUAUAGCUUUGCACCUUGGUUGGGCUGACUGUACUGGACUAGACCAUAAAAAAUAGAUUGUCAAACCAUUUCAGCAGGCUCACAGCAUUACUACAAAUCCUUUCAGAGAAAUCCUUCGACCUCAUGCAAGAGAUUUCAGAUUGCUUCUUAAUGUAGCUUAGAAAGAAACAGAAGCCUUCUGCACUGAAUGGAAGAUUAAAGUGCUUAAUUUGCCAACUAGUACCUCGUGUGGCAAAAAACGUGCAGUUUCUGUGGAGCCUUGUGAUCAUCCAGAAUGCCCGUAUUCACAGAAUCACAGAAUUUCUAGGUUGGAAGAGACCUCAAGAUCAUCGAGUCCAACCUCUGACCUAAUGCUAACAGUCCCCACUAAACCAUAUCCCUAAGCUCUACAUCUAAACGUCUUCUAAA